rnacentral:lncRNA from 1 species
UAAAUUCUGGGACACUGCUGGCAGACCGGCAAAUGAUUGCGGACCAGACAUCAUGCCAGCAAUAUUUUUUAGACUUUGGGUAAAUUGCUGGGCAAUAUCUGGGGGUGGAACAAACUGACAUUGUAUUGGCUUAGCUUCUAUCUGAUUCUCAAGCUGUUUUUGGGCAUUCAUAUUAUCCUUGCUUCCCUGGGUACUUGAUGCAGGGGAGGUCCCAUUAGUUUUUAAUUGAUCAGGUCCUACACUACCGCUCUUUUGAAGCACGUUGCCAUGGAGAACACGGCGGGGAUCACGAGGUUUCAUGCGAAUUUUGCAAGACUCAUCCUGGAAGGUCAUCAAUUGAACAUCAGGACCAAAAAUGAGAUAUGUGAAUAAAUAUUAUUUUUCAUGCGUUCAACUAAAGGCAAGUUAAUUGUAUUUAUCUUCAUCUGCUUGAAACCUAGAAAUGGUAUGAAGAGAGACUUGCCAAAGAGGCCGAUGCUUAAAACAGGUACGACUUUGCACAUUUUUAGCAUUUCAUUUUAUAUGUGUAUGUAUGUGCACUUAAAAAUAUGUAUAUAUUUAUGUGUAAAUAUAAAAUGAGGUACUCACCAAAGGAGGACCCUGAAGAUUUCCUGCAGGUUUUGACAAAGUACCAGAUGAGCUUGAGGGAACAACGUUAACAGAGGGCGAGGGAAUAACAUUUGCUGGGGGAAUGACUCCCAGAACUGGAUUUGAGCUUGGCUGAUACAAUGUAUUUUUUAGAGGAUCAGGAGUUUUCUGCUGGGAUUCAGAUGGUAAUCUCUGCUGUUGUCCCAUCUUAAGUAUAUUUAUCAGCAUGGUAGGAUUUACUGCAAUAUCUUUCAACAAAGCAGGCAAGGAAGGGUUACUCAUGCCUGUCAGUGGCACCUGCUCAUUUUUG